rnacentral:precursor_RNA from 17 species
UCUACACCUUUUUGCUAAGAGCUUGAGGGAAGGCAAGAUGUUGGCAUAGCAGUUGUGGUUGUAACCUGCUAUGCCUACGUACUGCCAUCUUUCCUGUCUAACUGCAACCAAGACAUGCA